AACGCUAGCUACAGGCUUAACACAUGCAAGUCGAGGGGAAACGACAUCGAAAGCUUGCUUUUGAUGGGUGUCGACCGGCGCACGGGUGAGUAACGCGUAUCCAACCUGCCCACCACUUGGGGAUAACCUUGCGAAAGUAAGACUAAUACCCAAUGACGUCUCUAGAAGACAUCUGAAAGAGAUUAAAGAUUUAUCGGUGAUGGAUGGGGAUGCGUCUGAUUAGCUUGUUGGCGGGGUAACGGCCCACCAAGGCGACGAUCAGUAGGGGUUCUGAGAGGAAGGUCCCCCACAUUGGAACUGAGACACGGUCCAAACUCCUACGGGAGGCAGCAGUGAGGAAUAUUGGUCAAUGGGCGAGAGCCUGAACCAGCCAAGUAGCGUGCAGGAAGACGGCCCUAUGGGUUGUAAACUGCUUUUAUAAGGGAAUAAAGUGAGUCUCGUGAGACUUUUUGCAUGUACCUUAUGAAUAAGGACCGGCUAAUUCCGUGCCAGCAGCCGCGGUAAUACGGAAGGUCCGGGCGUUAUCCGGAUUUAUUGGGUUUAAAGGGAGCGUAGGCCGGAGAUUAAGCGUGUUGUGAAAUGUAGACGCUCAACGUCUGCACUGCAGCGCGAACUGGUUUCCUUGAGUACGCACAAAGUGGGCGGAAUUCGUGGUGUAGCGGUGAAAUGCUUAGAUAUCACGAAGAACUCCGAUUG
rnacentral:rRNA from 2 species